UAGGGAAUCUUCCACAAUGGGCGCAAGCCUGAUGGAGCAACACCGCGUGAGUGAAGAAGGGUUUCGGCUCGUAAAGCUCUGUUGUUAAAGAAGAACAUAUCUGAGAGUAACUGUUCAGGUAUUGACGGUAUUUAACCAGAAAGCCACGGCUAACUACGUGCCCG
rnacentral:rRNA from 1 species